rnacentral:rRNA from 1 species
ACUUACGGCCAUACCACUCUGAAAACCCCCGAUCUCGUCUGAUCUCGGAAGCUAAGCAGAGUCGGGCCUGGUUAGUACUUGGAUGGGAGANNGCCUGGGAAUACCAGGUGCUGUAAGCCU